GGAUGUGAGGGCAGUCUGGUUGUGACCUCUGUCACCCCGCCGAUCACCUGGGUUGAAUCGGCUGACCUGGCUGGCUAGGGGGGUGUCCCCUUCCUUCCUUACUGCCUCAUGUGUGUCCCUCCCCAAACUACCCCCUCUGUUGAGGAGGACAACCCAGACAGAGGAGGACCGCUCUUUGGUCCAGGACACACUAGUAGCUGUGCUCCCUGCUAGGACCUCCAGGCAAGCUCUCAGGGCGUCAGGGUGCAACGUCAGGGUGUUUUGCCUUUUUUUUUUUAAUAAGUUAGUUUUAUUUAUUUA
rnacentral:snRNA from 1 species